CGGCCCGUACCCUAAACCGACUCAGGUGGUCAGGUAGAGAAUACCGAGGCGUUCGGGUGAACUAUGGUUAAGGAACUCGGCAAAAUGCCCCCGUAACUUCGGGAGAAGGGGGGCCACACCUGGUGAACACUCUUGCAGUGGGAGCUGGGGGUGGCCGCAGAGACCAGCGAGAAGCGACUGUUUACUAAAAACACAGGUCCGUGCGAAGCCGUAAGGCGAUGUAUACGGACUGACGCCUGCCCGGUGCUGGAACGUUAAGGGGACCGG
rnacentral:rRNA from 1 species